rnacentral:misc_RNA from 1 species
UACGGAGGGGGCUAGCGUUGCUCGGAAUUACUGGGCGUAAAGCGCGCGUAGGCGGUGAAUCAAGUUAGGCGUGAAAGGCCUGGGCUCAACCCGGGAACUGCGCUUGAUACUGGUUCGCUAGAAUCCGAGAGAGGGUAGUGGAAUUCCCAGUGUAGAGGUGAAAUUCGUAGAUAUUGGGAAGAACACCGGUGGCGAAGGCGGCUGCCUGGCUCGGUAUUGACGCUGAGGUGCGAAAGCGUGGGGAGCAAACAGG